GCCGAAGUGGCGGAACUGGCAGACGCACUGGACUCAAAAUCCAGCGGCCUUCGGGCCGUGAGGGUUCAACUCCCUCCUUCGGCA
rnacentral:tRNA from 1 species